rnacentral:snoRNA from 1 species
UUAGCACGUUCACAGGUCUCCCUGGGAAGUGGAGCCAGGGUUUGGAAGCUGGUGCUGAGAGAGACCCUUGAUUGCGUCCUUGGCCUGGUACUGUGCCAGUGGCAGCUGUCACUCAGUGGGCAGAC